GCCAGACUCCUACGGGAGGCAGCAGUGGGGAAUAUUGCACAAUGGGGGAAACCCUGAUGCAGCGACGCCGCGUGAGCGAAGAAGUAUUUCGGUAUGUAAAGCUCUAUCAGCAGGGAAGAAAAAAAUGACGGUACCUGAGUAAGAAGCACCGGCUAAAUACGUGCCAGCAGCCGCGGUAAUACGUAUGGUGCAAGCGUUAUCCGGAUUUACUGGGUGUAAAGGGAGCGUAGGCGGCGCGUUAAGUCUGAUGUGAAAACCCGAGGCUCAACCACGGGAGUGCAUUGGAAACUGGCGGGCUGGAGUGCCGGAGAGGUAAGCGGAAUUCCUAGUGUAGCGGUGAAAUGCGUAGAUAUUAGGAGGAACACCAGUGGCGAAGGCGGCUUACUGGACGGCAACUGACGCUGAGGCUCGAAAGCGUGGGGAGCAAACAGGAUUAGAUACCCGAGUA
rnacentral:rRNA from 1 species